ACCAAGUGGGGACCAAAGCCUGGGACCAGUGUUAAUUUAGAGGAGGCCAGAAUUGAGAGAAUUGAAGGAAAACAGUGGGGGAGCCUGGAAUCAAAUCCCAUGUGAAGCAUGCUCUCCUUCUAGACCCUUCUGUAGGAUCGUCCACAAAUAAGUAUGUGGAUUUUAAAGCUGUGGGACUGGGUGAGAUCAGCUAGAGAAAUCAGCAGAUGAAGAAAGAAGAAAAGCUGGUGGUCUAGGCCAGGAUCUACCCUGAGGCCUUCCAACUUUCAGAGGUAGGUGUGUAUGUGUAUACAUGCAUAGAUACGUAUACACACAUAUCCCAGAAACUAGAAAUAUGUACAUAGACCUAUAAAACUUUUUUGAUUUGCUCCUAUAUUUAU
rnacentral:lncRNA from 1 species